AAAAUAAAUACAAACUAACUCAGUGGUUCUCAGCUAUUUUUUACAUAUGGACCCCUUUGAUUACUAAUUUAUUCUGGUGGACUCCCAUAACCAUUCAAUGUCUAAAAGCUAGUUAUAUAGAUACUUAUUUCAAAAUACCUAUUUUGUUUUUCAC